rnacentral:tRNA from 2 species
GGAAGGGUGGCAGAGUGGUCGAUUGCAACGGUCUUGAAAACCGUCGGAAGGGAGACCUUCCCGUGGGUUCGAAUCCCACCCCUUCCGCCA